UAAUAAACAGAGCCAGUGUGACUAAGUGGAGCUUGUGAGAGUGAGUGGAUUGAAGAAAGUGAGGGACUCAGAUGUGUCAGUUGGUUUGUCUUUGUUUUUGAGUGUGGAGGAGAGUUAGAUUGGGUUGGUUUUAAAGCUAAGUUAAGAAUAUUCUGAAUUUCAAUUCAAUUUUAUUUAUAUAGCACCAAAUUACAACAACAGUCGCCUCAAGGCGCUUUAUAUUGUACAGUUUAAUUUCCAAAACUUGCAUAUGAUCUUCAGUUUGCAGCUGGACUAUCACAUAGCAGCUGGAGCAGUCUCAAAUGGAGGUCAGUCCACUGCUGCCACCUGUGGCCAAGUGCCAUAGCCUACUACUAGAUGAACUUGUGACACACAUCUGCAGUAGAGGCUGAGUGGCUGCUCUCACACCUGGAGCAUCCAAAUCGACCCACAAACACGUUGAAAGAUGCAACGCCAUCAAUGUGGAUUGUCCAGACUGAGAGACCUCUUCCCUCUGACCCCUCCCCAAACCCUCAAACCCUCCUACCCACCUCGACAUACAAACUCUGUGUGGCUUCACGUGUUCUGUUGAUGUUUAGCCUCGAGGCAGACUAACUCCACCCUGACAUCAAGAAGAUGGAGGAAGAGGAUGGAGCAGGAUCUGCAGCAUCCAGCUGUGUGUCUGUGAGGAGUGACUGGUCCAAAGGAGAACCUCGACAGUUCAGUAAUGAACCUGCAGCAACAAUAGCUUCUGCACAGUGUGGAGAAAGAUCCAGAAGCAGAGCUGGACUGCAGACAGCCAGUCAGAGCAGCUGUGGACAAACAGAUGUUGGUCUGCAGGAGGUUUUAGAUGAACAUAAGAUCAGUCUGAGGAGGA